rnacentral:tRNA from 1 species
GCCCAGGUGGCGGAACCGGCAGACGCGCUACUUUGAGGUGGUAGUGGGGCAACCCGUGGGGGUUCAAAUCCCCCCCUGGGCA